rnacentral:rRNA from 1 species
AACGAACGCUGGCGGCAUGCCUAACACAUGCAAGUCGAACGAGACCUUCGGGUCUAGUGGCGUACGGGUGCGUAACGCGUGGGAAUCUGCCCUUGGGUUCGGAAUAACAGUUGGAAACGACUGCUAAUACCGGAUGAUGACGUAAGUCCAAAGAUUUAUCGCCCAAGGAUGAGCCCGCGUAGGAUUAGCUAGUUGGUGAGGUAAAGGCUCACCAAGGCGACGAUCCUUAGCUGGUCUGAGAGGAUGAUCAGCCACACUGGGACUGAGACACGGCCCAGACUCCUACGGGAGGCAGCAGUGGGGAAUAUUGGACAAUGGGCGAAAGCCUGAUCCAGCAAUGCCGCGUGAGUGAUGAAGGCCUUAGGGUUGUAAAGCUCUUUUACCCGGGAUGAUAAUGACAGUACCGGGAGAAUAAGCUCCGGCUAACUCCGUG